CCCUGCUCCUGCUGCUGUAAACAUCCAUCAUUAGAGCCCCCCCCUCCUCUCGUCCCUGAGCGGCGUUCACUCCGUCUGAAAAGAGCAGGAUCUUUUCUUCUUCUUCUUCUUCUCUGAAUAAAAGGAGGUCUCGCUCGUUUAGCCCACUUGUUCUGGCCUCGUCUGUUUGUUUGACUUCAGCGCCCCUCCCUGAAAGAACAGCAACAUAACUAUUGAGGUCACGUUUCCUUGUGUGUGAAAGUGGGUCACUUGUUCUGGAGUUGGGCCCCAGUGGAGAUGGUAAACAUGAGGACUGACGGUAAAUUCAAACCCGCGUCUGAGAGUCUUUCUUCGUUUCCAGCCGUGACCUUUACCUGUUUGUUUCAAAACUACCAUAGUGACUUUCCCUGGGGAGUCAAGUUUCUAUUCAGUACACAUAAUUAAAGCUCGAAAGCUCCCCCCUCCCCUCCUCUCUCUCUCUCUCUCUCUCUCUCUCUCUCUCCAAUCCGCUGCCAGUGCUUUAACAGCUCGUGAGGUCGACCGCUGAUUCACCCACUGACUGAACAAAUCCACUUUACAAGAACUGUGUCUCAUUUACGCCGUCAUCAGAGGAGGGGCUUCCUUCACAUGGGGGUGUCAUCCACCUGAGUGACAUCACAUCAGGUGUGUCGGGGUCCUAUUGUGCUGCGUUACACAAACAUGCUGGGUGUUUGUCAGAGAGCAGCAACAGUUUGGAGACUUUAAAACUCCAGAAAUGUUAAAGAUUAAAGAGUCUUUGACUUUAGGAGAGGACGGGUUCGAGUCCUGGAGGAGCAGAAACCGGGUCAGGUGAGAGAGUCCAAGUGUUGAAUGUUCUGGAGAAAACCAAGAACAUGAGAAUGUAAACAGCCCCUUAUAGAAGAUAUACAUCCCCAUUGUUUUCUGACUCAACAGCGCCCCCUGUGGUCAGUAAAUCGAGCUUGUUUUCAUCAUAUCAAGUGCGCACUAACAGUCAGAUUCCCCCUAAAGAGCUGUGGGGAUGUUUGUGACGCAGCAGAUGUGGUCUGAUACCCCUGAAAACGGAACCAGCCGGGUCACUGUGGACCUGCUUCUCCUGGAUCUGAAGUUUUCCUGGACUCUCCGGUAAAAGAACAUCCUGUGCCUCAUUCUGUGAC